CCUACGGGCGGCUGCAGUGGGGAAUAUUGGACAAUGGGCGAAAGCCUGAUCCAGCCAUGCCGCGUGUGUGAAGAAGGCCUUCGGGUUGUAAAGCACUUUCAGUGGGGAAGAAAGCCUUGGGGCUAAUACCCUCGAGGAAGGACAUCACCCACAGAAGAAGCACCGGCUAACUCCGUGCCAGCAGCCGCGGUAAUACGGAGGGUGCGAGCGUUAAUCGGAAUUACUGGGCGUAAAGCGCGCGUAGGCGGUCUGAUAAGCCGGUUGUGAAAGCCCCGGGCUCAACCUGGGAACGGCAUCCGGAACUGUCAGGCUAGAGUGCAGGAGAGGAAGGUAGAAUUCCCGGUGUAGCGGUGAAAUGCGUAGAGAUCGGGAGGAAUACCAGUGGCGAAGGCGGCCUUCUGGACUGACACUGACGCUGAGGUGCGAAAGCGUGGGUAGCAAACAGGAUUAGAUACCCCAGUAG
rnacentral:rRNA from 1 species